UACGUAGGGUGCAAGCGUUAAUCGGAAUGACUGGGCGUAAAGGGUGCGCAGGCGGUCUGUUAAGACAGAGGUGAAAUCCCCGGGCUUAACCUGGGAAUGGCCUAUGUGACUGGCAGGCUAGAGGAUGGCAGAGGGAGGCGGAAUUCCACGUGUAGCAGUGAAAUGCGUAGAUAUCGUGAGGAAUACCAAGUGCGAAGGCAGGACUCUGGACAUUUUCUGACGCUGAGACACGAAGGCUAGGGGAGCAAACGGG
rnacentral:rRNA from 1 species